rnacentral:rRNA from 1 species
CUUCAUUAAUCAAGAACGAAAGUUAGGGGAUCGAAGACGCUUAGAUACCGUCGUAGUCUUAACCGUAAACUAUGCCGACUCUGAAUUGGCCUCUUGACAUUUAUGGGAGGUCAGCGCAGUGUGAGAAAUCAAAGUUUUUAGGUUCUGGGGGGAGUAUGGUCGCAAGGCUGAAACUUAAAGGAAUUGACGGAAGGGCACCACCAGGAGUGGAGCCUGCGGCUUAAUUUGACUCAACACGGGGAAACUCACCAGGUCCAGACUUCUGUAGGAUUGACGCAUUGGCGAUGCUUCAUGAUUAGAAGGGUGGUGGUGCAUGGCCGUUCUUAGUUCGUGACGUAAGUUGUCUGCUUUAUUGCGAUAACGAGCGAGACCUCGGCCGCUAGUUGCCAGAACUCACACUUUGUGAGUCUUUGGCUCUUAGCGGGACUACCGGAGACAAUUCGGGGGAGGUUCGAGGCAAUAACAGGUCUGUGAUGCCCUUAGACGUUCUGGGCCGCACGCGCGCUACACUGACGCAGCCAGCGAGUUAAUCCUUGUCCGAAAGGAACGGGUAACCUUGUUAAACUGCGUCGUGAUGGGGAUAGAGCUUUGCAAUUUUUGCUCUUGAACGAGGAAUUCCUAGUAAGCGUAAGUCAUCAACUUGCGUUGAUUACGUCCCUGCCCUUUGUACACACCGCCCGUCGUUACUACCGAUUGAAUGGCUUAGUGAGGUCCUAGGAGGAUUCUUGCACGAGGGCAACCUCUAGCGAGAAACCAAAUUCGAUCAAACUUGGUCAUUUAGAGGAAGUACAAGUCGUAACAAGGUUUCCGUAGGUGAACCUGCGGAAG